UUUCACUGAAACUAUUUGCGCCACCCAUGUGAAGGAAGAAAGUUUCAUUAUUUGAUUAAAAGGUUGAACAAACCUUGAAAUUCGUUUUAUCGAUUCGAGUUUCUUUGACAUUUACUAUGAUGGCUGAAAUUAAUGCUCUUGUUGCUGCUUUAAGCUGAUGUUGUGUUUUUGAACUUUGUGUCAAGUUUUACUACACACCUACCUGGGAAAACCCUUAUUAUAAUGCGGUGUCAUUUGAGUCCCCGUCGUAUAUUGCUAAUAUCCCUUCAAAUAGGUUAAAAGGGAAUGCUUUAUCAUCACCAUCAUUCUCUGCAAGCCUGAAAUAUAUUUGAUCUGAGAGUAUGAAGGAAUGAAUUGCUUCGGCAGGAGCUCUUGUUUUUAGCCCUUAAAAGCUGUCAUAUUUAUGCUGCUUCAUCAUCCUCAUCCUACAUGUGUGGCACAAAUCCAUGCUCAUUGUGAGCUUGGAGAGUUGGCAAGUUCAAAGCCAUUUUCCAUGAUGCUUUGGGAAGGUCCUGGGUUGUGGGUAGUAUGGACCUACAAACUUCACACGAAGCUAUAAAAUAUUGCAAUUGUAAUACAAGUCAAAUCAGAUGAUGUAGAGAGAGAGAGGUUGUUUUGUUUAAGCGGCCAUUAGCCACCAGUAAUACUAAAUAGCUUGAACACCCACUAGCAGAAUUGCAGUUCAGUUGUAUACGGGUUGACUCUCAGUAGAGACGGAUCAUAUAUCUCAAAGCGUGCCAUCAUGAAUGCCUUUCUCUAUUUCUUUUUGCUAUAUCUGUACCCUUUUACUUCAUGAUAAAGUUAUAGAAUCACUAACACCUCUAACCUCCUUUACCAAAUGUUCGUACAAAAAGAAGCACUUGAUGGACCGAUUUAUCUCACA